rnacentral:tRNA from 1 species
GUAUAGCUCAGUGGUAGAAUGCUUGCCUAGCAUGCAUGAGGAACUGGGUUCUAUCCCCAGAACA